rnacentral:lncRNA from 1 species
AAAAAAAAAAAAAAAAAAAAAAAAAAAAAACCUCUAAAAUAUAAAAAAUUCUAAAAAUAAUAUUACUUUAAAAAUAAAUAAUCUACAAUUACUAAUGUAUAUAUGUCUUAUAAAGAAAAAGAUGUAAUAUAUUUUUAAUCAAGAAAAGAUAAAAUUUUAAUAUUAUAAAUAUAAUUUUAUCAAAUUAAUAAGGAUAAUAAAUCAAAUAAUAUAAAUAAAUAAGUAAAAUAUUUUGAAAACAAUAAAAAUAAAAUAAAAUAAUUAUAUAUAUAUAUAUAUUAAAAAAAAUUAAAAUAAUUUUUGUCAAAGACUAGAAAACUAAAGAUCCUUCAAACUAGAUUAUAAGUAAGAAAAGAAUUGACAAGACUGAGAAAGGUCUCACUCUUGCUUCUACAUAUGCUAUCUAAUUAGGAGUUAUAUGACAACAUUCUAUAAAACCUCUAACAUGUAUCAAAUUUGUAAGACAUAUGUUUAAUUUGCAAAGUAAGUUGCUUGUAUAUAUGCCACAUGUCCAAUUUGUAUUGGAAGUGGCCAACAUGUACAAUACAUGGCCAAGUUGUUAGCCAAGUUUUCAAUCUAUCAAUUACCUAUAGACAUAUAUAAAGAUAUCAAGGACAUGAAUCUUGAAGAAAAAACAUCCUCAAUAUACUCUUAUAUCACUAAAAAAAAUUAAAAAUUCAUUUAAAGAAAAUAUUGUAUUAGAAUGGCUAUUUCCAAAAACAAAAAGAUUGGGAAGUCUUAAAACAAGAAUAAAGACUAGAAAGGUAUUGACAAGAGUGAAGAAGGCUUCACUUUUGCCUCUAUAUAUGCUCUUAACUAGCAGCUAUGUGGUGAUAUCCUAUAGGACCUCCAAAAUGUGCUGACUUUGUAAGACAUGUAUCUUAACUUGCAAGAUAAGUUUUUAUAUGUGCUCCACAUAGUUAGCUUAUUUGACAAACUAUCAAUAUGUGAUUAAUUUGUUGACCAAGUUUUUAACCUAUCAAUCAACUAUAAACAUAUGUAAAAUCAAAGUAGCAUCUAUGAAGCUUUUAAAAAGCUUCUCUAGAAGAUAUUAUGAAAUUUAUCUAUUUUUACUUACUUCUAUCUAAUUAUAUAGGUAUUUAUUAGAAUACUUAUAUAUACAUAUAUAUACAUAUAUAUAUAUAUAUAUAUAUAUAUAUAUAUUUGUGACAUUGCCUCAUCUUCUAAAGACAAGUUCCACAAGGAGCAGUCUUCAUAUAUUGAAGAAAUCUAAGAUACGAUGAAUUCUAUUUGUUCAUACUUUAAUAUUUGUUCUAUUUGAAGAUGGUUGAUAGGUCUUCUCAGCCAUUGAUAAUAUCUCAUACUAGGGCAAAAAGACCACCUUGUUAAUUGGUUGUUAUUGAGGCCUUUAUAACUUCUUUCAAAUAAACCUUUGAAAUACCAUCAAGAACUAUUCCUAUCUCAAAUAAUAUCACUAAACAUCAAGAGUCUCUUUGAAGUUUGUAAUACCAAAUAUGUUGUAUCUCACCAUCUAUUCAAAGAAGGACAUGUCAUUCUUGAAGAACUUCAUCCCGAUUUCAUUGUCUUGAAAGUUGUGACAAUCACAAUGUCUCAACUGGUAAGUCUACAAAUAAAAGCUCUUGAGUUGAAUUUGCUAGUUGUUGGUUCUCCAUCUCUUUAGCAUUACAAAUACACAAAAGUUAGAAAGACGAAUAAAAAAUAGAGUUUUAUAUUUCUUUGAUCUUGUUUCUUUUAUAGAAAAGAUUUAUUAUUCUUCAUCUUAGUUUUGAUGAAUAUUGUCAAUAAAAAGUUUCAACUCUCUUUGCUACAUUUGCAAGAUUUUGUGUUGGCUCCCAUGUCCAUUCAUUAAUAUCAUAUCCAUCCUAAUAAACAAGAUAUUCUAACAUAUUUCAGCACCGCCUUAAAUCUAAGUCUUCUUCUACCUCAAACUCUUAAUUAUUAUCCACUUCUAUAGGAAGAGGUGGUAUUUGUCUUCUUUUCAAGAUAUUCACUGUCUUAUAUGGCUCAAAAAGAGACACGUGAAAUACAUAGUAGAUCUUCAUAGACUCCGAUAGAUAUAAUCAAUAAACAAUAGGCUUGACUUGUUUGCUAAUAAAAAAAGGUUCAAGCCAAUGAUAGUCUAACUUAUUACAAAGAUGAAUAGUCUUGAUACUGCAAUGAAGUAAUUAUAUUUUAUGACCUACAUUAAAUGGUGGUUAUUUCUUAUGAAAGGCAUCUCCAUUAAUCUUUUGUCAUUUUUGAGCUCCCUUUAAUUACGCCUUCAUUGUUGUAUGUAGCUAUGACAAACAAUUUGUCAAAUCUUCCACCACAAGAUUAUUAACUUUUGAAAAGUCAAAAAUAUCAAGUCAUGGAUGAUAAUAAUAUUUGGCAAAAAAAGGUGUUUGUUGAAUGGAAGAAUGUACCAAAUUAUUAUAUGCAAACUCUGCCAAUGAUAAAAGAGUUGUGCAAUCAUCUUGAUGAUAGUUAAUGGUACACUUCAAAUAUUGCUACAAAACUUAAUUUUCUUAUUCUACUUGUCCAUCAAUUUUGCAGAUGAAAAGCCAAAGAGAACUUUAGAUCCACCUUUAAAAUUUUGCAAAGGAUUUUUGAAAAUCUUGAUAUAAAUUGAGUCUUCUUAUCCAAUAUAAUAUCUUUAGGCAAUCCGUGAUAGUGAUAGAGAUUAUUAAAAAAAAACUUAGCUAUUUUUUCAUCUAUGAUACAUUUUGUAUAUGGUAUAAAAUAUUCCAUCUUAGUAAAACAAUCUAUUACUACAAAGACAAAAUCAUACAAACCUAAGAUUGGAAGAUCCAUAAUAAAAUCCAUAGAAAUAAAAGGCCUCAGUUGUUUUGAAAUAGGUAAAAGUUAUAGAAGUCCAUAAGGUCGAUAGUGAAGAGUUUUGGAUCUUGAACAAAUAUCACAUGAUUGUAAAAGGUUUUUGACUAUCUUCCACAUUUGAGGACACCAAAAAUCUCUUGAUAUUAGCUCUAAAGUCUUGUUGUAUCCAAAUUUUUGUUGCUCAAAGGUGAAAAUAUUUUAGCUUCAAGAGAAUCAUUUUUUUUUUUUUUUUUUUUUUUUUUUUUUUGUACAAGAUAAGAAUGUCUAAAAAGAGUGUUCAACAAAUCUUGUUAUUUUUUGGAUUGAUAAGUGACCUUGAAAUCAAAUUUUGAUAAGGACAUACUUCAAUUAAUUUGGCAAUAAUUUAAAAUAUGUGCUAAUAUGAAAUACUCAAGAUUCUUAAAAAUUGUAUACACGAUGACUAGAUUUGAGGCGCUUUCUAAAUGAUGAUACCAUUCUUGAAAUGAAUCCAUGAUUAUAAGGAGCUCUUUGUCAUGGAUCUCAUAAUUAAUUUUGGCUGCUAAAAAUUUUUUGGAAUAAAAAGCUACUAAAUAGAGUUUGUAAUCUGCUCCCAUUUGUGAUAAUACUACAUCCAAGGCAAAGUUUGAUCCAUCUAUUUCUAUAAAAAAAUACCUUGGAUAAAUUGACACAAUAUAAGAUUAGUGCACAAGUAAAUUCUUUUUUUGAAGCAUCAAACCAUGCUUUGGAUUCUUUACUCCACUCAAGUUUGUUUUUACAAAUCAAACAUGUAAGUGAAGCUGCAACUUAAGAAUUUUUUUAAUAAAGAUAUGAUAGUAAUUGACAAAGCCUAAAAAACAUUACACAUUUCUUAUUAUUCUUGGAAUCUCCCAAUCCAUGAUAGUCUGGACCUUCUUUGGAUCCAUCAUUAGUCCUUUAUUGAAAAUGAUGUAUCCUAAAUACAAUUAGGGCUAGCACUCUUGGCUAGUUCCCAUAAUUGGUAUCACAUCUAUAAUUUAAAAUUUGAUGAUAUUUAGUUGAUUGGUUGUAAUAAGUGUAUGUAAAAUUUUGUAUCAAUUUAAUAAUGCAAUUGAGAGAUAUCUAGGUUUUGAUACAAAAGGGUAUUAGAAGUUGGUAGUUUGGAGUUGGGUAGGAUUUCUAUAAUAUCUAAAGAUCUACUAAUUGGAUCAAGAUGAAAUUUUUCAUAGUAUUGGAAGACUUCAAUAUCAAGCUACACACUGAUUUUGAAUUGAAGUUUACUAUUGAAGAAGGAGAAAUUGCUACUAGAACAUUUGCAUCAACUUUCAAGUUGGCGGCCAAGUGACAUCAAUACAGUUUUUGGACUUUUUUUCACAAUUUGUAAGUUGAAUUGGGUUGAAUUUUUUUGAGUAUAAAGAAGAAUUAUAGUAACAUUUUGUACCAAGUAGACAAUCAAAUUAGGAGUUAGGGCUUAUAAAGAUAAAUCAAAAUUAUCUAACUAUAAAAAUAAUAAGACAAUUGGAGUUUAUAUAUGAUUGAGGUUAAUAAAAAUAGUCUUUUUGAGCACUUUAUACUGAUUUUAAGUACUUUUUAAUUAAAAUUCGAAUUGCAUUCUUCUUAUAUAGAUAAAACCUAUUAAGGUUUCCUAAAUAUUUAUAAAACAUAACUUCACCUUACAUAGCCAAGUGCUUGAUUCAGUUCCAAACAAGACAGCAUAUAAUACAAUAGUCGUGCAUUCUCAAAUAAGAAAUUAUGUAAUACAACAACAUGUUAUUGUAUUACAUGAAAUUUGCUUAAGAAUUUACUAAAUACUUGGCUGUAGAAGAAAAAAUAGAACUUGCAAUAAGUUGAUCAUAAUAAUUAUAAUAGAAUCCUAAACAAAAUUCAAUCAAAUUAUAAAAAUUCUAAUCAAUUUUUAAUUAAAUCCAAAAGAAGUCUCAAGAACUUAUAAAAAAAAACAUAAAGAAAUCAUAAAUUCAUGUUAACAAAAUAAAUAUAAUAAAAAAAUCUUAAAUAAGUAUUAAAAUUAAAAAUCUUAAUUGAAUCUUAAUUAAAUUUUAAUAUAACUUUCAUUAAAUCCUAAUGAAAUCCUAAACCAAUUUAAAUCAAACCUUAAUAAAAUCCUAAAUCCUAAAAAAAUCCUAAGUAAAUUCUAAAUCUCAAUUUUAGACCAAAUCUUAAUCAAACUCUAAGUCCUAAUUAUAGAUCAAAUUCCAAUAAAACCAUAAAUCCUGAUCAAAUCCUAUCAAAUCUUAAAAAAAUCCAAAUCAAAUUCUAAAAAACUCCUAAAUCUUAAUCUUAAAGCAAAUCCUAAUGAAAUCUUAAAUCUUAAAUAAUUCUCAGAAAAUUCCAAGUAAAUUUUCAUUAAUUAUUAUAAUUAUUUGAAUCCUCAAUAAAUAUCAAUUAAAUUAUAGAUCUUGAAUAUAAUUUUGUCCAAAUUUCAAAUAAUAAGUAUUUAACAAGCAUACAAAAUUUGAGAAAAAAUAGACUUAUCAAUUGCAAGAAAAGCUUCUAAAACCUUUUGGUCAUUGGCCACCCUCCCUCUUUAACUUGAAUGUUGAUCUUUCAACACCAAUUUUUUAUUUUCAAACUAUAUAAUUUCUCUAAAAAUUAGAUUAAAUAUAAAUAUUUAAGUUUUAAUUGCUUUCACCAAAUUUUACUUCAAUCCAACUAGCAGAUGUUACUAGAUCUUUGAAUCAAUCACUAAUUCUAAAUUUCAAAUAUCCAAGACCAUUAUCUAUAAAAACCCUCAUAUAUUUCAAUCUAAUUGCUCGAUUGAUCUCAAAUUUUUCACACAUAUUUAUAAAAAGUAAAAAAACAAAUUAUCCAAUUUUUACUUAUAAAUAUGCUACAAAAUUCACAAAAUCCUAAAAUUUGUAAACUUAUUUUUAUUUCUUAAAAUUCAAAUCUAUUAAGUACAUUAUUAAUUUUAAAAAUCCUCUAAAAUCUCAAUAUUAAUCUAAAUGACAUAAAACCAAUACUCAAAAAUCUCUUCUCAAGUUUGCUCUCAAACCUUAUUUUUCAAUUUACAAAAGAACCUUGAAGUUGCUAUAGGUGCUCAGUUUUAUAUUUUAGGAUCUGAUUUUGAUCCUAAUUAGCAAUUAGUCCUCUCUAGAUAUCAAUUCCUGUAUUUUUAGGUAAUUUUUAUUAAAAAUAAAUUCUCAACUCUUUCUUAUAUAUGCUUAUAUCAUUUAUUUUUUUAAUCUAUUUUAUUUUGCCUUAUUUAUGGCCCUAUAAAGCUAAUAGAACAUAUUUUUAUAAAAGGUGAUUCUAACACGAAUAGAUUUUACUACUUGCCUUCAUUUAUCUAUGAUUUUUUAUCAUAUAUUUUUAAUUAAUUUCUUCUAUAAUAAAAUAUUUUGUUAUUUCUUUCACCUAAUGGCCAUUUAUAUAGGUGUUGAUUUUGAGGGUUUUGGGUGGAUAAUGACUUUGUAAGAGCUUUGCAAAGUCAAUGUUGUUUUUGAUGACUUUGAUUUUUGGAAAAUAAAAUAGGAUUAACGUUUUGGGCAACUUCAAGAGUUUAAUAAUACAUCUAUUAGUGAAAUUUUUUAGAUUUGUGGGUAUGAUUGUGCUUGAUGUGUGUUGUGAAUUUGGAUUUGAAAUGUUAGAUUGAAAUGCAUGAAGGUUUUUGUGGGUUAUAGUCUUGGAAUUCAAGGCUUUGAGAACUAGUGAGGUUUUCUUAGAUAUCUAUCGAUCUGCUAGUCCAAUUGAAGUAAAAUUUAUUUAUAAAGGUAGUAGACUUGAUUUUCUAUUCAUGUAUGAAAUUUUAAAAAAAUUGAAUGGUUUGAAAGGGAGAUUAUGGCACUGGAAUUUUAUCAUUUAGAUUUGAGUACGAGGAUAGCUAAGACUUGAGCAGAUAUUAGAGUUGAUCUUUCUUUUAGUGAGUUUGAUCUUUUUCAAAAAAAAAUUGCUUAUUGUCAACUUAAUUGUUAAGUAGUAUGUAAAUUUUGAGUUAAAAUCAUUGGUUCAUUAUUAGUUAUUGAGGUUUAAAUUUGCUAUAGAAAUUUCUUGGGAUUGAUUAGAGUUUUGUUAAAGAUAAGAGUUAGGAUUUUGGAUUUGAUUUAAGGUUUGAUUAGGGUUUGGUUCAGGUUAGAAUCUAUGAAGCUUCUAAAAAGCUUUUCCAUAAUAUAUUAUCAAAUUCAUUUACUUCUACCUACUUCUACCUACUUCUACAUACUCAUAUUCUCUUGAUAAUUAUUGGAGUAUAUAUAGAUGUUUAUGAUAUAGCAUGUGGUUAUAAAUAUUCUUUUAAAAAUAAAUGAGAAAUUAAAAAUACUUAAAUUUGUACAUAUCAAUAUUUGUAGUUUUGUUCUUCAUUAAAUAAAUUAAUCAAUCAAAUUUUUACACAACUUGAAAGCUUAAAAUAAAAAUAUAAAAGAUAAUUAAAAAAACUAAAAAUGGUAUUUAAGAAAUAAUUAUUCAUUAAUAAAUAAUCCCACAUUUUUAUAAAAGGAGUCUAGCAUUGUUUUAUUCAUAUACACAUUAUAAUCCUAUAUAAUUUAUAAAUUUAGAUAAAUUUUAAAACAAUAAUAUACAUAUAUAUUAUUAAGAAGAGAAAAAAUAAGAAAAAAAAUAGAUAGAUACAAGAUAGAAAAGAACUUGAAUGACUACCAUCAAAUAAUUAGUAAGUUGAGGGUCUUAAAUCUAGAUUAGAAUAUAAGACUCUCUCUCUCUCUUUAUAUAUACAUACAUAUAUAUAUAUAUAUAUAUAAGGAAAUGUUAAAAUGACCCAAACUUUUAUUAAAUUGGCCCACUUGUCUAAACUGUCAUUACAUACUUUGUUCUCCAUCCCCGUUCCCUCGUUCCCAACCUCCAUCUCCGUUCUCGGCUACUGUUCCGACUCCUCUCCCUAUCCCUGUUCCCCAUCCUAAGUAAUUCUCAUAUAGAGAAAUGAGAGCACAGAGGAGGCCCUGAAUUGAAGAGUACCUUGUGCAAGGGCUCUAAGAAAUCGAAAGCAGUACAGGCUUCAAGAAGGCGACUAUCCAUUGUUCGAGCAGGUGGAUGUCCGUUCGGCUUCAAGAGCACCAUGGAGAAAGGAGCACAACGGGAAUCUUCGAUGGAAACUAACGUAGCUGCGACAGCAAGCCCUCUCGUAAUCACACCACACGCUCCAGUUCCAUCUGCUGCUGAUGCCCCAGACGAAGUGAACCUCGGACCCGGUACGACUUCGUAGCCCUCAUUUUUCAUCUGUGGAUUGCAAAAGUUCGAUUGGGUUCCAAAUUUGCUUGAUCUAUGUCAAGACGUGAUUAGAUCUUGUGCUGACAAUUUGCUCCUUGGUAUGGAUAUAUUGAAAAUCCAUGAAUUGAUUUUCAUAUUAUUCACGUAUUGUGAAAUAUUUGAUGUCUAUAUAUUUUGUUUGUCAAUGGUAUUUUGGAUUCUUUAUGAGAGCAAUCACAGCUUGGUUGUCAGAGUAUAUAGAUGUUGGUAGUUCUUGCUCUGUAUUGAGAGAUUUCAAUAGGCUGCAUAAUCAGGUUGUUUCUUUAAUAGAUUCUAUAAGUGCAAUUAGUUCAGCUAUUGUCAUUGUUAGACAUCAUUAGACAUCCUUGCUUGUGGUUUCCCUAUGCAAUGGCAAUAGACCCUCGGAUCGCUCCAUCACAACUUGUGUCUCUGCAGUUUGUUUGUGGAAAAGGGUUCCGCAGAGCAUCAACAGUGAAUGAACCACCAGUAUUACCAACACGGAGAUGUCGAUCAAGAGCGUUUCAGUUCAUGAUUCCGUGGGACGGCUAGCGCAUUCCCGAAGAUAUUUGAGAGCAAUGUCAUUGAAGCAUGCCAUAGUCUUGUACCUGGUGAUGGAUGUUGGAUGAACAUCCAAACACAUUAUACUCGAAGAUCCAUUCGUCCUCAGUAUACAAGUUCAUGUUCGAUGGAUCCAUAGUGUGGCGAUAAGUGUUAGACAAUCAGAGAGUGUAAGUUGAUUAGAGAGAGAAUACGAAAAGUGUUGAGCUUUGAUGUCACUAAAGGAGUUUACAAUGGAAUAAAGAAAGUGUUUAAUACCUUAUUCUGAGUGUUUGAUCAUAGAGAGAGUAGAAUUCCUUUAGGUUACGGGCCCACCCUUGAGUGUACUCUGCUCAGACUUCUAGAAAUUGAUAUUUACCUUAUUUUUCUACUUCGAACAAUCAAGAACAUUGCAAACAGACUCAAGGCGAUUAAGUACUCAUUAGUGCAUUCUUCAUCGACCUUGAGCUUCUAGCAAUCUUAUUUUGCAGCAUGUCGUUCAUAGAUCAUCCGAUGUCUUGAUUGUAGUUGUCGAUCGAGGCGAAGAGUUAUAUAUAUAUAUAUAUAUAUAUAUAUAUGUAUAUAAUGAAAUUUUACAUUUAUGAGCAUAGGAUUCUUAUAAUUUUUUAAUAACGAAUUCAAAGGUUCUAAGUUCUAAUCUUUGUAAUCUUUGAUCUGCAUUUUUGUUUUUGUUGAAUUCUUAUUUCUUGUUUUCUUCAUUUCUCAUUUUCUUAUCAUCUUGAAUUCUUGCUACUCUUGAUUUUUAUAUUCUAAUAUCUUCUACUUUUCAAAAUAUUCUAAUAUCUUCUAAUUCAUUUUUUCUUUACUAUUCUUUACUUUAGUAUUUUUGUCAUAGAUAAACAUGACAAAAUACCUAUUAAAAUGUUUAAUGGAACUCAUUUUUCAAUCUAGAAAUACCACAUGGAUAUUAUUUUCAAGCAAAGAGGUUUUACAAGUUGUUAUUGGACAAGAAAAAAAACUUAUUAUUGAUACAAUUUAUGCCUCUCCCAAUAAUCAAGAACUUCUUGAUACUUGGGACAAGAAAAACAUAAUUGCUUGUAUAUUUUUCAGCAAGUCUAUUUCACAAAGAAAACUAAAAAAUACUCACUAGUUGCUCAAUUGAGGCUAAAUGUGGCACAAACUAUGUUUCAUUUAUUCAAACAAAAAUCAAAAAAGCAUAUUUACUCUUUAAGGCAAGUUCUUCAAAUAUCAAAUGCAACCUAUUAACAUAUCAUCUCAUAUAUAAAAUAUAACUGAGAUAACAACCAUUCUUGUAGAUCUUAGGCAUUCUAUUCCAAAUAAAAUGAUAAUUUUAAAGAAUAUAUAUAGCCUACUACUUAGUUACAAUACUAUUAUAGCCACAUAGUCAAAUGUACCUAAAAUUUCUCAAAUUAUAGACAACCUUGAGGAAUAACUUCUAUAUCAUGAAAAUUUAUUCUAUUGCCAAGAUGGAAUCAAUAUUGAAAUAGAUCAUAUUUUCUUCAUAAGAAUAGCAAUCAUAUCUUUUAGAUUUCUUAAUAAAAGAGAAUAAUGACAUAAAGAUAUAAAUUACAUCUGAGAUCUUAAGACAUGAACAAAGUAUUAUAAUUGUCAUAAUAUUAACCAUUGGUUGGUUAAUUGUCCUUAACAAAAAAAAAAAAUGACCUCAAAGUAAAGAUCCUUGUAAAAUAGAUGGUGGUAUUAGUGAGGGCUAAUUUGGAUGAAAAUUUAUAAUCAUCUAAUACUUCUAAAGAAGAACCCAAUUUGAGUUUUGAUUGUGAUUUUAUGUUUUUUAUUAUGGCAACUAUUUUUAGUCAAGUAUUAGUAACUGACUCAUGUCAAGAUACAUGGUUUGCCAAUAGUGGCACAAAUGAACAUAUAAUAGACUACUUUGAAUGAUUCAUCUCAGUUCAACAGAUUCUAGAAGAGAUUCACAUGAUCUAGAUUGAUGAUGAUACUAAGCUCUGGAUGUAUGGCAGAGGUGACAUUUGAAUUAAUUCUUUCAUUAAUAAAAAGUAUUAUAAGGAGAUUACCAAAAAUAUAUUAUAUAUAAUAUGCUUAAAGUAUAAUUUAUUUUUAAUUGGACUUGUUUCAAAAUAAAAUUUAUCCUUUAUUACAUUCCUUAGCAAAUAUGAAUUUUGAACUCUUGAAGGCAAAAAGGUUUUGGAGGGCAUUGGCUUACAAAAACUCUAUUAACUAUCUAUUCAAAUAAUAUCUCCAACUACUCCUCUUCUUUUAUAUGAAACCACCUCACUCUCUCAUGAAAUUGCAUCUCAUGAUUCUAUACAUCAUGAUUUUUUUGUUUCACAAAGCCUUCUUUUUAUUCCACAAGAUUUCUAUCUUAUCUCAUGUGUAUACUUUGCCUUCUCUUCUCCCUUCCAUUGAUUUUGAUUCAACAUUUACAAUUAUAUCAUCUUCACACAAACAUAAUAUACAACUAUGGCAUGUGCAUAUGAACUACACCAAUAUCCCAAUUAUUCAAAAGAUGAACAAAAGACAAAGCUUAUUAGAUUUCAAAUUACUCAAUACAAAAACAUUGACACAUCUUUGUUUAGGAUGCAUAAUGGAAAAACAACAUAAAUUGAUUUAUCUACAUGAUCCAACCAUCCAAUAUUUUACUAUCCUCGGUGAAUUCAUUCAUAAAGACAUCCUAAAUAAACAACAUCAAAUCUUAUUUUUCAAAGGCUCUAUAUGUUAUAUAUUCUAUAAAGAUGAUAUAACAACAUAUUCUUUUGUAUAUUUCACAAAGUAAAAAAAAAAGAAGCAUUUUUAUUUUUCUAACAAGUUGUAAACUUCAUCAAGCAAGACACAAGAUAGAAAAUGUGGGCCUUAUGCACAGAUCAAGGCCCCAAAUUUUGCAACAAAAUUUUUGAUCAUUAUUUAGAAAAAAAUGAGAUUAUAUAACAAAUCAGCAUAAUAUAUACUCCACAAAAAAGUAGAUAUAUUGAACAAGAUAAUUGAACCAUAUUUGAAAUGCCUUGAUGCAUGCUUCAUGGAAAAUCUCUUUAAAAAAACUCUAAGUAGAGGCUAUUAACAUUGCAGUUUAUAUUCUAAAUUGCACCAUUAGUAAUCAACUUAAUGAUAUAACAUCAUACAAACUAUGGUUUUGUGAAAAGCCAUUAGUACAAAAUUACUAUGUAUUUGGCUCUUUCUCAUGGAUCUAUAUCAAUAAGCCAUUCUAAACAAAACUUAAUUCUAAAAGCAUGUACAUAUAUUUUAUUAGUUAUUCUAUCAACAACCAAGCUUAUAGAUUUUGAAAUCCUAUUAUAAAUUUUAUCAUCAAAAGUAUAGAUUAUAAGAUUAAUAAAACUUUUGGCCAUUACAACUUUGAUUUAUAAUAUGAUCUAGGCAAUGAUCUAGUCAAUGUCCUAAUAUUGCUCUUGACAUCUAUACCUACCUCUUUUCAACAACUUCUUUGAAAUUCAAUAAAUGCACCAACAUUGCAUAUAAGUGAUCACUUAAUUUUUGAGUCUAUAUCCAAUAAUGACAACUUACAAACAAACCAUGUAUUUGAUGUCACUCCAAAUGAUGUAGAACAUAACUAUUUAAGUGUAGAAGAUGCUUUGAUCCUAAAAAAAAAAAAUUGAGAAUAUCAACCUACAAAGAAUUACUUUUCAGCAAUACAUAAUGGCACAUCACAAUUUAUUAAUCCAAAGAGAGAUAUUACUCCAAUAGUGGAAGACACUACCUUAACUGCAGGAGAUUUCUCUCUUGAUAUUACUUGACAUGAUUUACAAUAUAUACUAGUAUUUACUCACUCACCAACUGAAUAAGAUUCAUCUUUGGAUGGAUAACUUUACUCUAGAUUCAAAUCUAUUUAAGAACUUCUAAUCAAUACAUCAAAAGUCAUUCAAUAAUAACUUCUUUUUUUCUAAAUCUUCUAAAGUUGAAGAUUCUUUGUCAUCUAUAAUUUCAGAUUUUCUAUAUUCAUAAUCAAUAUUAUAUUCAAAAGCAUUACUAGCAUCUAUUGGUGAAUCCAUUUAGGAACCUUAAUUGUAUAAAAAAGCCCUAUUAUCUUUUGAUUCAAAAUUAUAAAAAAAAAGACAUGAAUUGUGAAUAUACUUCACUUAUAAAAAAAAAUACAUGAAAAUUAGUUCAAAGGCCACUUCAUCAAAAAUUGAUUCAAAAUAAAUGGAUUUACAAGGUCAAAUAUAAGCCAAGUGGUGACAUUGAAAAAUUCAAGGCAUGGUUAAUUGCCAAGGAAUUCACGCAAAAACUAGGAAUUUAUUUCAUUGACACUUACUUUCUAAUGAUCUCUUAUGAUUUAAUGUGUGCCAUCUUUGCACUUAUUACUAUAAAGAACAUGCACAUAAAAUAGUUUGAUAUUGGAACAAUAUUUUUGAAUGAAGUUUUAAGAAAAGAGAUUUAUAUAGUAUAACCUCAAGGUUAUGAAGACUCACAAAAUCCAAUGUACUAUUGCCAAUUAAAAAAAAGAAUACAUAGAUUGUGUCAAUUUCCUAAAUAAUGGAACAUAAGAAUCUCAAAUUUUUUCAAAUAAUUUUUAUUAAUCGCAAGUGAGGCAAAUUCAUGUGUAUAUUGCAAUUAUAGCAAUCUUCAUGCUAUCAUUGGUAUAUAUGUUGAUAAAAAUAUCAUUGCAUCUUUGAUUUUUUCAUUUAUUAUAGAUAUUUUAUAAUAUUUAUAAUCAAAUUUCAAAGUGACUAGUGAACCAAUAGAUUAUUUUGUUGGAUUUCAAAUCCAACAAUGUAAAAUUAUAAGAUCUAUCAUUUUUUUUUAUUAAAAAAGAUAUAUAAAUGAUGUUCUCUUAUGCUUUGGUCUCCAUGAAGCCUAUGAAGUUUCUACUCUAGCUAAUACUUAUAUAAAACUCUAAAAAAAUACAAAUUUACAUGACCCUCAAGUUUCCAUUCUUUAUCAAUAAGGAGUUAGUUGCUUCAUGUAUGUAAUGCUUAUCACAUGCCUCAACAUUGGCUAUACUAUCAAUAAAGUCUUUUUUUUUUCAAGAAUCAUUAUGACGAAGUCAUUAGACUCCAGUUAAAUGUAUUAUGCAAUAUUUAAAACAAACAUGUAAUUAUGGUUUAUAUUAUAAUGCUCAACCUUAGCUACCUCACCUUGUUCGCUAUACAGACAUUGAUUUUAGUAGAGAACUUGAUAAUUGUAAGAGUAGCACUUGCUUUGUGUAUACAUUGGAAUCUAUUGCCAUUGCAUAGGGAAACCACAAGCAAGGAUGUCUAAUGAUGUCUAACAAUGACAAUAGCUGAACUAAUUGCACUUAUAGAAUCUAUUAAAGAAACAACCUGAUUAUGCAGCCUAUUGAAAUCUCUCAAUACAGAGCAAGAACUACCAACAUCUAUAUACUCUGACAACCAAGCUGUGAUUGCUCUCAUAAAGAAUCCAAAAUACCAUUGACAAACAAAAUAUAUAGACAUCAAAUAUUUCACAAUACGUGAAUAAUAUGAAAAUCAAUUCAUGGAUUUUCAAUAUAUCCAUACCAAGGAGCAAAUUGUCAGCACAAGAUCUAAUCACGUCUUGACAUAGAUCAAGCAAAUUUGGAACCCAAUCGAACUUUUGCAAUCCACAGAUGAAAAAUGAGGGCUACGAAGUCGUACCGGGUCCGAGGUUCACUUCGUCUGGGGCAUCAGCAGCAGAUGGAACUGGAGCGUGUGGUGUGAUUACGAGAGGGCUUGCUGUCGCAGCUACGUUAGUUUCCAUCGAAGAUUCCCGUUGUGCUCCUUUCUCCAUGGUGCUCUUGAAGCCGAACGGACAUCCACCUGCUCGAACAAUGGAUAGUCGCCUUCUUGAAGCCUGUACUGCUUUCGAUUUCUUAGAGCCCUUGCACAAGGUACUCUUCAAUUCAGGGCCUCCUCUGUGCUCUCAUUUCUCUAUAUGAGAAUUACUUAGGAUGGGGAACAGGGAUAGGGAGAGGAGUCGGAACAGUAGCCGAGAACGGAGAUGGAGGUUGGGAACGAGGGAACGGGGAUGGAGAACAAAGUAUGUAAUGACAGUUUAGACAAGUGGGCCAAUUUAAUAAAAGUUUGGGUCAUUUUAACAUUUCCUUAUAUAUAUAUAUAUAUAUAUGUAUGUAUAUAUAAAGAGAGAGAGAGAGUCUUAUAUUCUAAUCUAGAUUUAAGACCCUCAACUUACUAAUUAUUUGAUGGUAGUCAUUCAAGUUCUUUUCUAUCUUGUAUCUAUCUAUUUUUUUUCUUAUUUUUUCUCUUCUUAAUAAUAUAUAUGUAUAUUAUUGUUUUAAAAUUUAUCUAAAUUUAUAAAUUAUAUAGGAUUAUAAUGUGUAUAUGAAUAAAACAAUGCUAGACUCCUUUUAUAAAAAUGUGGGAUUAUUUAUUAAUGAAUAAUUAUUUCUUAAAUACCAUUUUUAGUUUUUUUAAUUAUCUUUUAUAUUUUUAUUUUAAGCUUUCAAGUUGUGUAAAAAUUUGAUUGAUUAAUUUAUUUAAUGAAGAACAAAACUACAAAUAUUGAUAUGUACAAAUUUAAGUAUUUUUAAUUUCUCAUUUAUUUUUAAAAGAAUAUUUAUAACCACAUGCUAUAUCAUAAACAUCUAUAUAUACUCCAAUAAUUAUCAAGAGAAUAUGAGUAUGUAGAAGUAGGUAGAAGUAGGUAGAAGUAAAUGAAUUUGAUAAUAUAUUAUGGAAAAGCUUUUUAGAAGCUUCAUAGAUUCUAACCUGAACCAAACCCUAAUCAAACCUUAAAUCAAAUCCAAAAUCCUAACUCUUAUCUUUAACAAAACUCUAAUCAAUCCCAAGAAAUUUCUAUAGCAAAUUUAAACCUCAAUAACUAAUAAUGAACCAAUGAUUUUAACUCAAAAUUUACAUACUACUUAACAAUUAAGUUGACAAUAAGCAAUUUUUUUUUGAAAAAGAUCAAACUCACUAAAAGAAAGAUCAACUCUAAUAUCUGCUCAAGUCUUAGCUAUCCUCGUACUCAAAUCUAAAUGAUAAAAUUCCAGUGCCAUAAUCUCCCUUUCAAACCAUUCAAUUUUUUUAAAAUUUCAUACAUGAAUAGAAAAUCAAGUCUACUACCUUUAUAAAUAAAUUUUACUUCAAUUGGACUAGCAGAUCGAUAGAUAUCUAAGAAAACCUCACUAGUUCUCAAAGCCUUGAAUUCCAAGACUAUAACCCACAAAAACCUUCAUGCAUUUCAAUCUAACAUUUCAAAUCCAAAUUCACAACACACAUCAAGCACAAUCAUACCCACAAAUCUAAAAAAUUUCACUAAUAGAUGUAUUAUUAAACUCUUGAAGUUGCCCAAAACGUUAAUCCUAUUUUAUUUUCCAAAAAUCAAAGUCAUCAAAAACAACAUUGACUUUGCAAAGCUCUUACAAAGUCAUUAUCCACCCAAAACCCUCAAAAUCAACACCUAUAUAAAUGGCCAUUAGGUGAAAGAAAUAACAAAAUAUUUUAUUAUAGAAGAAAUUAAUUAAAAAUAUAUGAUAAAAAAUCAUAGAUAAAUGAAGGCAAGUAGUAAAAUCUAUUCGUGUUAGAAUCACCUUUUAUAAAAAUAUGUUCUAUUAGCUUUAUAGGGCCAUAAAUAAGGCAAAAUAAAAUAGAUUAAAAAAAUAAAUGAUAUAAGCAUAUAUAAGAAAGAGUUGAGAAUUUAUUUUUAAUAAAAAUUACCUAAAAAUACAGGAAUUGAUAUCUAGAGAGGACUAAUUGCUAAUUAGGAUCAAAAUCAGAUCCUAAAAUAUAAAACUGAGCACCUAUAGCAACUUCAAGGUUCUUUUGUAAAUUGAAAAAUAAGGUUUGAGAGCAAACUUGAGAAGAGAUUUUUAAGUAUUGGUUUUAUGUCAUUUAGAUUAAUAUUGAGAUUUUAGAGGAUUUUUAAAAUUAAUAAUGUACUUAAUAGAUUUGAAUUUUAAGAAAUAAAAAUAAGUUUACAAAUUUUAGGAUUUUGUGAAUUUUGUAGCAUAUUUAUAAGUAAAAAUUGGAUAAUUUGUUUUUUUACUUUUUAUAAAUAUGUGUGAAAAAUUUGAGAUCAAUCGAGCAAUUAGAUUGAAAUAUAUGAGGGUUUUUAUAGAUAAUGGUCUUGGAUAUUUGAAAUUUAGAAUUAGUGAUUGAUUCAAAGAUCUAGUAACAUCUGCUAGUUGGAUUGAAGUAAAAUUUGGUGAAAGCAAUUAAAACUUAAAUAUUUAUAUUUAAUCUAAUUUUUAGAGAAAUUAUAUAGUUUGAAAAUAAAAAAUUGGUGUUGAAAGAUCAACAUUCAAGUUAAAGAGGGAGGGUGGCCAAUGACCAAAAGGUUUUAGAAGCUUUUCUUGCAAUUGAUAAGUCUAUUUUUUCUCAAAUUUUGUAUGCUUGUUAAAUACUUAUUAUUUGAAAUUUGGACAAAAUUAUAUUCAAGAUCUAUAAUUUAAUUGAUAUUUAUUGAGGAUUCAAAUAAUUAUAAUAAUUAAUGAAAAUUUACUUGGAAUUUUCUGAGAAUUAUUUAAGAUUUAAGAUUUCAUUAGGAUUUGCUUUAAGAUUAAGAUUUAGGAGUUUUUUAGAAUUUGAUUUGGAUUUUUUUAAGAUUUGAUAGGAUUUGAUCAGGAUUUAUGGUUUUAUUGGAAUUUGAUCUAUAAUUAGGACUUAGAGUUUGAUUAAGAUUUGGUCUAAAAUUGAGAUUUAGAAUUUACUUAGGAUUUUUUUAGGAUUUAGGAUUUUAUUAAGGUUUGAUUUAAAUUGGUUUAGGAUUUCAUUAGGAUUUAAUGAAAGUUAUAUUAAAAUUUAAUUAAGAUUCAAUUAAGAUUUUUAAUUUUAAUACUUAUUUAAGAUUUUUUUAUUAUAUUUAUUUUGUUAACAUGAAUUUAUGAUUUCUUUAUGUUUUUUUUUAUAAGUUCUUGAGACUUCUUUUGGAUUUAAUUAAAAAUUGAUUAGAAUUUUUAUAAUUUGAUUGAAUUUUGUUUAGGAUUCUAUUAUAAUUAUUAUGAUCAACUUAUUGCAAGUUCUAUUUUUUCUUCUACAGCCAAGUAUUUAGUAAAUUCUUAAGCAAAUUUCAUGUAAUACAAUAACAUGUUGUUGUAUUACAUAAUUUCUUAUUUGAGAAUGCACGACUAUUGUAUUAUAUGUUGUCUUGUUUGGAACUGAAUCAAGCACUUGGCUAUGUAAGGUGAAGUUAUGUUUUAUAAAUAUUUAGGAAACCUUAAUAGGUUUUAUCUAUAUAAGAAGAAUGCAAUUCGAAUUUUAAUUAAAAAGUACUUAAAAUCAGUAUAAAGUGCUCAAAAAGACUAUUUUUAUUAACCUCAAUCAUAUAUAAACUCCAAUUGUCUUAUUAUUUUUAUAGUUAGAUAAUUUUGAUUUAUCUUUAUAAGCCCUAACUCCUAAUUUGAUUGUCUACUUGGUACAAAAUGUUACUAUAAUUCUUCUUUAUACUCAAAAAAAUUCAACCCAAUUCAACUUACAAAUUGUGAAAAAAAGUCCAAAAACUGUAUUGAUGUCACUUGGCCGCCAACUUGAAAGUUGAUGCAAAUGUUCUAGUAGCAAUUUCUCCUUCUUCAAUAGUAAACUUCAAUUCAAAAUCAGUGUGUAGCUUGAUAUUGAAGUCUUCCAAUACUAUGAAAAAUUUCAUCUUGAUCCAAUUAGUAGAUCUUUAGAUAUUAUAGAAAUCCUACCCAACUCCAAACUACCAACUUCUAAUACCCUUUUGUAUCAAAACCUAGAUAUCUCUCAAUUGCAUUAUUAAAUUGAUACAAAAUUUUACAUACACUUAUUACAACCAAUCAACUAAAUAUCAUCAAAUUUUAAAUUAUAGAUGUGAUACCAAUUAUGGGAACUAGCCAAGAGUGCUAGCCCUAAUUGUAUUGCAUAAAAUCCAAAUCACCAAUACAAAGUCUUACUUUGAACAAUAAUUUCAAAGUCAUUCAAAAUUCUCUGAAAACAAACCUUAUCCUUCUUGAAUCAACUUAAAACUAGCUCACCAAUGCUAAUUUCCAAUCUUUAAAUGACUCCCUACUUUUUCCUAAGUGAUUGUUUUAGUAGCUAGAUGUCUAAUUUCGACCUUGUUCCAUUGGCGAUCAACCCCCGGAUAUCAAUCUAACCUAUCUUAGGAAUGUUUUUAGUCCAAUCUUAUCUUUAAUUUAAUCCUAGUAUCAACCAUACAAAUUAUUUAUCAAUUUUAGCUUAAUUUUACCAAUUUAUGGUCUUUUUAAGGCAAUAAAAGAAUUUCUAUAGCCUAAAAGGUAAAAUUACUAAGCAACCUUUAAGCUACUAGCUAUUAAGACAAAAAAAUAAACUAAGAGGUUUUUGUAAAAGCCGUGUUUAAAUAUCUUAAAUUAUUAUUGAACCAAGAUGCUUAAAUAUUAAUUAAAAUUUUAUUUUUGAUCAUAUUUUUAUCAUAUAUUUGUGUUACAAUAAGACAUUGCACACAAGACAUUGAGCACUUGGUUGUGGAAGGUCAAGUCAUAUGUUACAAUUAUCUAAAAAAUCCUAAUAGGUUUCAACUAUUACAAAGGAAACAAUUUGAAUUCCAAUGCAAAAAGGUUUAAAGCCAAUGCAAAGUGCUCAAAAAUACUCUUCUUAAUUACCUCAAGCAAAUAAAAAUCCUAAUUAUUAUUUUUUUGUAACUUCUAAUUUUAUCUCUAAUUCCUAAUUUUAUGCAAUAAGUUUCAACUAGCUGUAAUUUCUAAUCUAUUUAUCUAAUUAAUGUGAAAUUUUUUAUAUUAGUAAAAAAAAUACUUCUUUUGUAUGCUUAAAAAAAUUUAAUCCAAUACAACUUACAUAUUAUGAGAAAAAUACAAAAGAACCAUGCUAGUGUCUCUUGAUUGCUUACUUGAAGGUUGAUGAUAAAAUUCGAGCAAUAAUUUCUCUCUCUCCAACUAUUAACCUUAAUUCCAAAUUGGUAUGUAGCUUGAUAUUUUAGUCUACUAAAACCAUACCAAAUUCCUCCUUAUUCCAAUAAGUAGAUCUUUAGAUACUCCAAAAAUCGUAUCUGACUUUAAAUUACCAAUUUUUGGUACUUCCUUACACUUAUAACUAAAUAUCUCUCAAUUGUAUUAUUAAAAUAAUAUAAAAAUUUUACAAAAAAUUAGCAUAUCUAUUUAACUAUGCAUUAAAAAAGUUUGAACUAUAGAUGUCAUAUAUAUCUCAUAAAUCAAUUGAUAGUGUUAGUUCUAAUUUUAUUGCAUAAAUUCAAAAUCAACAAUAUAAAUCUUAAUUUUGUACAAUAAUUAUGAAGUCAUCUCAAAACCUAUGAAAAUAAGAUUUAUAAUUUUGAAAAAAAUCUAAAGCCAAUUCUUUCAUUUAAUUCUUCAAUCUCCAAAAUUUCUCCUAUUUUGUCCUAAGUAAUAGUUUUAAUAGCAAGUUGUUUGAUUUUGAUACAAUCUACAAAUAGUUAUUUUCUAGAUAUCAAUCUAAUCUUUCUUAGGGAUUUUUUAGUACAACCCUGUCUUUAAUUUAAUUUUAGAAUUGAUCAUAUUAAAUAUUUAUCUAAUCUAUUUUAUUUUUAUUAAUUUAUGGUCUUUUUAAGUCAUUAAAAGAUUUUUUUAUAAUCUAAAAGGUAAAUUUUUUAACCAACUUUUAAUCUAUUAGCUAUUAAAAUAAAAAAAUAAACUAAGAGGAUUUCAUAAAAGCCUUAUUUAAAUAUUUAGAAUUAUUAUUGAAUGAAGAUAAUAGAAUAGGAAUCAUAAUAUUAUUUUUUUUGUAUUUUCACUAUAUAGUUGUAUUACAACACAAUAGCUUACUACAAUAUGGAACAAACUUCCAUCUAAAGUUUCUUCAAUAAUAAACUCUAUCUUUACACAAGCUUCCAACAAAGUCUAAUGUAGAUAUAUAAAUGCAAAAAAUCUACUUAGCUCAAUUGGCUAUUAGGAUACUAAUGUUGAUCACAUAGUAUUUUAAUAUGGAUGUUACAAGGAUUGUAAUAUUAUAUCUAAAUCUAUUGGUUUUUUUGUUUAUGAUUUUUUUGUUCUGAAAAACUUGCACUUUGUAUAUUUCAAAGAAUCUCAUCUUUUUGCAGAGGUUUGAGGACAUUUUGAGUUCUUGUAAAAAAAAUCAUACCAAGAUAAAAUCAAAUAGUAUUUAACUGAAAGCAAAGCCAUUAUCUUUUUACUUGUCUUGUCUUGGAGCUAGAGAGGCCUUUUAUAUUCCAAAAGAGGAUAUUAGAUUUGAGACUAAACAUGGUAGGACAUUAGUUUUGAUGAAGUCUAUUAAUAUAUCUUCUCACAAGUUGAGAUAAACAAUAGAUUAUUGGCUAAGAGUCAAGGUGCAAUGAACCAAAGGCUAUUUUUUUAAGAUAUGAUAUGGUUGGAAUAAACUUUGGAAAUAAAGAUCUCUACUAUAAAGUAAUUAUUUUGUAUCAUUUCUUUAUUAUAAAAUAAGUAUGUAAUCUUAAAGAGAGAGAGAGGUGGUGAGCAUCUUGAUUAGAAAGCUAACUCAUUGGUAAUCAUUGUAAUCUGUAUUGAAGGUAGAGAUGGUGAGAAUGGUAAUAAUGGAAAUGGAAGGAGAUAAGGGGUGGAAGAAGUGAGGUGGUUGGAGUCCUACCACUCUAAGGAAUUGUAAUUGAAGAUGUAGAACUAGAGACAAGCCUCUUCGUUGAUUGAGUUCCUCUUCUUUUGUGUCUCUUAUCUUUGUAGAAGGUUAAAAUAGUGAAUCAUUGUCUAUGUAGGAAAGAAUAUCAGUAUCAUGCAUUGACUCAAUGAGCAUGAUAUCAAAACUUCUUUCAUGAUCUCUACACUUUAUUAUUCUACAAACAUUGUGAGUGGAAAUUCAUCUUUUGAUAACAUCAUUUAGUCUAAAUAUAUCCACAUUUUGAAGUUGUCUAUAUUGUUUUAAUGUACAUUUAUGUGGACUUGAUCCAAGCAAGUCUUGUGUACAUCCAUAAUUAUUUGAGUGGUAUUGGUGGAGAGAGAAAUCCUAAUUCUCCUAAUUUCAUUGAAGGUAUCAUUGAUGUAAUGUUUUUAGAGGCUAGAAUUAUUCAUGUAGAUUAUUGGCCAAAUAUGGAGUCAUUUUUUUGCAUCUUUUAGAAUAGAAGAGAAAUUGAGCAGAUCUCACACGUAGACAUUAAUAAGGCUUAAUGGUAUUGGUAGUUUGUUGUUUGGAGAUAGAGUUAAUGGAUUAAAUCCUCCAAAGCAAUGGAAUUUUUAUUACCUUUUCUUUCUUGUUGAUCUUUUUUGACUCUAAUUCAUUUAAUAAAGAGGGAAGAAUUAGAGGAUCCAAUAAGGAAGUUUGUAGUCUGAAGUAUAAGACCAAAGUGUCUACAAUUAUUAUAGUAGUCUAUUCCAUUUCUUAAGUUCUUGUAAGAAAAACCUUAUAUUUCCAUAUUAUAGUAGGUUGGAUGGUUGGAAGUAUCAAGAUGGAUAAUGAUGUGAUUAAAAUGUUUUGUUUUGAUUUAUUUUUUUAUGUUCCUAUUUGAGUCUUACAAAAGCAUUAUACAGACUUAUAUUCUAGUUCUAAACAAAGGCUACACUAAUGAGGGAUUUCUUUGUAUUCUAUUUUAAUUUCAACUUUCUUUUUGAGAAUGAGAUUAAUAAUGCUAGAGCAUUCUAAUGUGUGACAUCAUUGUUGAAGGUUCAAAUAGGUUGACAUUGAUCUAGUCUUGUAAUUCCAAUUGCAAAGGAUGCUUUAUCAAAGCAAAUUUGAUGACAGUUAAGCGAGAUAUAACUUGGACAUCUUUAUCAGUGAUGACAAAAAUAUCUGGUGAAAGAGUAGGUCAAAGCUUAGGUUCAGAAGGGAAUUAUGUGGCCUUAACUAUCUUGGACGAUUUUGUCCAAGGUGAGGGUCAGGAAAAUGUAGUAGUAUCUCCUAUGUGGAAGUACAUAUACAAUUCAAACUUGUGCUAUACUACUGUCAAUAAACUAUUCAUAAAUCUACACUGAAAACAAAACAAAUACUAAAUCAGAAAAUAACAAACAAAAGAAACUUCUAGGGUUUUGAAGUGCUUCACAAUUUUUCUUGAAAUUCCCACUACUUGAUUCCUCAAAUACGUCCAAGUCGUCCGAUGCACGUUCUAUCGAUCCAAGUAUCCUACAUACAAAAAUGAACAGAAAAUAUUUGCAGAAGGUCCAAAGAGCAUCACCACCGGUUUGAGCCUGAUGGAUGGCGUGAAGGCAUGGUGCACAUGCCAGGGCAGCUGCAGUUCCCACCUGUUGGCGCCAACGGGGACGGCAGAAAGAGGGGCAGGAGUGGGGCCAGGCGGAGCCCUUGGGGCAGCCAAGUGGCGCCGGGCCUGGCUGCUACCGACCAUAGGGCGGGGUGCUCUGUAUCCGCAAGGUCCGGCGCCACAUGGCAGUCCCACGCGAGCUCCUCCUGGGCCCCACGGCGAGGAUGGGCCCGUCCUCACCAAGCCAUUUGCACGGCAGGCUGGAGACCAAACGCCCAGAUCCGCCAGGCCCGUCCUCGCCUCCGAGCUCGAGCGGGCAUGGUGGGGAAGUUUUUGAGGGCGGGGGAGCGCAGCCGCCCGAUGGCGCAAGAGUUGGCGCUACCGGUGGCCAUGCUCUUGGUCAGACCCUGGCGGCGGGCCAGUUUUUUUUUACUGAGCCCCAUCCUACCUUUCGGCCAAAGCAAUGCCGCCAUAAUGGAGCAUUGGUUGUCGUGUGUGUUUGCUUGUUUUCCAUCCUUUUGUCACACAAGGAAACCACCAAUAUCCGAUGAUUACUAAUAGGGAGGUAGAUCCUGUAUGUUCGAAGCAGACGUCCAUUCUCAGUGAUCAGUGACUCCAAAUACUCAACCUGGACGCUGGUAUGUUCGCUGCUUCCGUCGCUCUCACUCUUGCGUACUUCCCAAUCUCAGCACCCCGCUCACUGGCAACUCAAUUCUUCCCCUCGCUCGCUCGCUCCCUUGCGUACAAUACAAUCACCGUUUUUCGUUUUGGAUCGCCUUCCAGCCUUUUCUGCGCUCAUGACACUUAAUAAUUCAAACCUCGCGCGUGCUUGGUCGGUUUCUUAAAUUACGUUUCUUCUGAUGGCUCACAAUGUCAACUUGGUUCAGCCUAGUAUAGUGAGUUGUAAUCUUGGAUUUGGACAUUGUAGGAGAUGUGAGACCGUCGUCGCUGUAGGAGUCAUUGGGAGAGGAUUAGCUUCGGUGCUCUAGACUUUCUUUAUGUUCGCUAUUUGGAAUCUCUAGUGCAGUGUCCCGGAGGCUUCUGUAAGCUUUGAGUCGUGAGCUUAAAUUGUGUAAUGUAGCAACGUUUUUGGAGGAAGUAAUCGUGUAAUGUAGCAACGUUUUUGAAAUGGAGAAGAAUGUUAUUGAGACUUGAUUUAGAACUUCGUAACGCUUGAAUCGGUGAUGAGGUGUUUUUCAAUCCGAUUUUCACUCAUCCUGUGUAUGAGAAUCAGUAGUUAUCACUGUCAGAUUUGCCUUAGCAAGUACCAACUUAGCCACAUAAUUCUUACGGAGCAGAAGUGACCAGACAGAAGUUUGUUUUCAGGUCUAGAGUGUGAAUCACACGCUGCAUUCCUUCUCCGCUUCGUAUGAUUUCAUGAAAACUGUGUAAAGAAUGCGAACUCAGGAAGAGAGGAAGGCUAGUGCAUCUGCACGGAGCGCCUCUAAGCCACUCCUGAUCGACGUGAAUGGUUUUGGAGCAUCAAUGUUUGACAAGUGUUCCUAGUUCUUCCAAUUGAUUCGAUGGUUGUCAAUUUCUGAGAUGAUUUUUCUGCUGUCGAAUCAUGAUGCUUUUGGUGACAUUCACUCAUGAUCGUUACAAUCAUUCAUGUAGAAAUAGGUCCCCCUCCGAUCGUGCAUCUAUCGAGGCCUCUGCUGCUCGCAAUGCUUCGUUCAAAUGGCAGCUGGGGAGGCGUCGGGGCUACCGCCUCUUGAAGAAGCGACUGUUCGACUGGGUAGGAUACCUGCUUUGCUUAGUGCACACAACAGCUUGCGAGCGCCAAAAAGCAACGUAGGAGCGUCUCUUGCCAUCGGUCUCCUCGUGCCUUUCUUGCUCUCAUUGAUGAUCUCCAAGACAAGAAAGAAAGGUAAGGUCCGUGCUGUUACUUGUGAAGUGGGAGGAGAUCCCGGGAUUGCGAAACGCAAUCUCAGAUUUCUUCGCUUGGUGGAAAUGCCGUGGGAGGGUACCGACACUUUGGCUGACCCGUUUGAGCAUGCUUGUCACCAGGCCAAAGGCAACAAAUGUCUCGGAACACGCGAAUUCAUUAAGAUGGAGACUGAAACUAGUAACGAUGGCCGACGCUUGGAGAAGGUUACGUUGGGAAAAUACAGCUGGUUGACGUAUUUCGAGGUGUUAACGCGAGUGGAGAAUUUUGCGUCAGGGCUUGUUGCUCGCGGUCACAAGGAGGGAGAAAGGGUCGCUAUUUGUGCUGAAACUUGAGCUGAAUGGCUUCUCGGCCUUCAGGUGCGACUCCAGCACUAUGAUUCAGUUUCCCAGAUAAUGUUGUGUCGGAAGCUGUGGUGAAUCGUCGUCUUUCAUGCAAGUCCAUUGUCCAGGAGUCGAGAUCUGAUAAUUCAUGUCUUGGGUUGAAAUUUCAGGCGUGCUUCCGGCAAAACUUUCCAGUUGUUACGAUCUAUGCCUCGCUAGGGGAGGACGCAUGUUGCACUCUUUAAUCGAGGUGGGAGAGGAAACUUGAGAAACGUUGCUAUCCUCUUUCAUAGCGCAUUAUGUUUUCAGUCGCUUUCGGUACUCAUAAUCGAUUGCUCAUUGUCACACUAGCAUCUCUCAGAAUAUUUGACGUUAAUCAUAACAGGUCCAAUACUGCCCACUGUUUUCAAUAUCCAUUCUCCUGCAUGGGCUGGAUAAGUUGUGCUUUCUCUUGUAAUGAGAUAGUGUUCAUCGCAGACAGAGGUUAUCACAGUUAUCUGUGACUCCAACCAACUGAAGAAGCUGUUAUUCAAGAGUGACAGGUGCGAUGCUGUGAAGCAUGUUGUAUACAUGGAGGACAAUGAUGCACGGGUAUGCCAAAGGUAAAACAAGCUCACAUUGGAUAUACGCCGAGUCAAAAUGCUACCAUUCACAAGUUGUUGUAUAUUCAUUCAACUUGAGCCAACGAGUUAGCAUAUUCAAUUAACUUGAGCAUAUCAGAUUCCUUACCAUAUCUAAUUGUUCGAAGCAGAUCAUGUGAAGAAAAGCUGGGUCCUUCAAAGUUCCUGCUUUUCAGUGUUUAUCAUCACGAUUUGCAUUUAACGUCAAAAUAGUAUGGGUGAAUAUUUCAGUUCGAGUAGAUUUGAAGGGAUGUGUCAUCGUGGAUAUGCUCGAAAGGUUCACUUGGUAGUUUCCAAGUUGCACCAUGUUCACAGUUUGUUGAAAUGGCAGGGUGUGAUGAUGACACAUGCAAACAUAGAUGCCACAACAGCCAGAGUUAUGACGAGUGUCCCGAACAUGUCAAGCAACGAUACGUACUUGGCUUACUUGCCUCUCGCUCAUGGGUUGGAACUUGCUGCCGAGGUAAACUCUCUAUAGAACUGUUGCUCUCUAUUUCCAUGAAAACCUUGUAUUUGUAUUCACAAAUGCGAAGAUUAUCUAUAAAUCAAUCUGGAGUAUUAAGACCUGGUUAGUUUUUGAUCAGAUUGGAAAAUUGCCAGAGUUGUCUGGAGUGACGACUUGCUGGCAACCUGCAACAUUCUCACAAGUAGAGAGACUGAGUGGAAGCUUGUGAUUGUGUUUCAAAUUUAACUAAGUGCAACGUUUUUCCCAUUCAGAUCACAAUGCUUGCGGUUGGAGCGAGCAUUAGCUAUGGUUCACCUUUGACUCUUCUGGAUACCUCAAACGAGAUCAAGCCGGGGACGAAAGGAGAUGCGUCUGAGUUGAGGCCCACGUUAUAUACUGCAGUUCCUGCAAUUUUAGAUCGAGUUCGGGACGGAGUGCUGAAGAAGGUACUCUCCGCAGUUUAAAUCAGAGUUCAAACCUGAUCUGCAUGACUCCUUCUGAAGCUUAGGUUUGCGGCUGCGAUUGUGUGAUUCUGCCGUUUCUCCGUGCAGGACUGCAGGCUCAAUAUGUUUCUAAGCACAACGUUAUGAUAUACGAGGCGCAUGUAUGUGUUAUAUCCAACACGAGAAUGAAGAGAGUGUUUAGGUCUGUAUUCUGUGGGGUAAGGUUGAUGGGGUAGGGGGUAUGGUGAAGACGCUCUUCAAUACUGCUUACAACCGCCGGGUUAUGGCCAUCGAAGGAAGUUGGCUGGGAGCUUGGGGUAUCGAGAAGGUGCUCUGAGACAAGUUGAUCUUCAAGAAAAUCAAGCAUCUUCCCGGCGGGCGUGUAAGGGGAAUGUUUUGUGGAGGAGCCCCGCUGUCUGCACACACACAGCGUUUCAUCAACGUCUGCUUUGGGUUAUGGUCUUGACUAGUAUGCUCUUGCCGAUGCGUGUCUCAGUAUUCUUGAAGCUGCGACUGAAUAUCAGAAAUUUGUGUUUCUUAUUUUGGAAUUGUCGUUAUGGUUCUGUUGAUCGGGGCUCCGGCUAAAGUCUUCGUGUGUGUUCGUUUUUGUAUGUGCGUGAAACUAACUGUUUCCACGGCAUGUGUCAGUGUGUACAACUCGGUUCACUCGGUCUGAUGCCACGAUGCUCUGGUACCUUAACUUAAGAAACUGCGUGGGUUAUUUUCGGCAGAGCUACAAUCGGUCAAGGCUAUGGUUUAACAGAGACUUGUGCUGGUGGGACAUUCACCGAAUGGGAUGAUCGCUCCGUUCGUCGUGCGGGGCCUCCGACACCUCACUGCUACGUCAAGGUACUAUUCCCGCAAACAUUCAUUGUUUUUCCUUCUUGUCGAACAAGAUGGAUCGUGAACCGUGUUCGUUAAAUUUGUAAGGGUAAUUGGUUGAUUGUAAGCAUCAAUGUGUUCUUCAACCUGUCCGGUGUUUUUAAUGUUCAUUGACUGCAAAAUUUAGUCGCUUUACGUAUUUUCUAUUUGAGAUGCGCCAUGCAUUUGUGACUUUGCAGCUGGUUAAUUGGGAGGAGGGCAAUUAUAAGACCACAGAUGAUCCACCGAGAGGAGAGAUUGUUAUAGGUGGACCUAGUGCGACAUUGGGUUACUUCAAAAAUCAAGAGAAGACGGAUGAGGUCUUCAAGGUGUGGUUGAAUAAUCUUCACUAAUGUUUUUAACUCUUAUUCAAUACAUUGGAAUGAAAUGUACUCUUGAGUUUUCCACCGUCGUCGGAAGCAUGGGUAGAUUACAUCGACCAUUAUUAAAGUUUUUGUUAGGGAUUGUUUUGUGCUAGCUUUGGGGAUAAUUUUUGCUGAAGCUUUUCGCUAAUCGAUAAAAUCGUUUUUCUCAUUGGUCUACUUUUUGGUUCUUCCGCCUUUGAUAUUCGUUUUAGUUCUUGUUUGUAUAGUUUCCUUAGAGUUUUCUGGCGACUUUGUCAAGGUGGAUGAGAGAGGUAUGCCGUGGUUCUACACCGGCGAUAUUGGGCAGUUUCACGGCGAUGGUUGUGUUGAGAUCAUUGACCGCAAGAAAGAUAUUGUGAAACUCCAAGCUGGAGAAUACGUGUCACUUGGCAAGGUAUGAAUUUACAUGUGAUUGAUCUAUACUGCUGUCAAAAGUGUCCGUUCAACGUAUGUAUUGUAUUCUGUUGUACAGUUCUGAGGGUUGAAUGUUUUGUCUAUUCUUUGUCGAAUCUUGUACCUUACUCUUUCUUCUUAAUUUAUUGCAGGUGGAGGCAGUGCUGAUAGGCUCUGUAUAUGUCGACAACGUCAUGCUUCACGCUGACCCGUUCCAUAGUUAUACUGUCGCACUUAUAGUGGCAAACCAAGCUGCGCCCCAGGAUUGGGCCCAAAAAGCAGGUGUUUCUCUGAUUUUGCUGACUUGUGCACGAGGUCGGAGACAUGCAAAGAGGUUCUUGCUUCAGUGAGCCAGGUUCGAGAACCAGACUGAUUUUUCGACGUUCUUUUCUUUUAAUAGACUUCCACAUUUGCUCAACUACUGAAUGAGAUUAUACAGGAUUAUGCAUCAGUGUUCAUGCCUGUCGUCAUGGGUAUAUGGAUUUGUUGUAUUGAUCAUCUUCAAAUGAAUUUCUGUGUGUGUUUGGCAGGUGGCUAAGCAAGGAAAACUGCAGAGGUUUGAGAUUCCAACCAAGGUGAAGCUUCUCUGUAAUCCUUGGUCACCUGAAAAUGGCCUGGUUACUGCUGCGAUGAAGCUUAAACGAGAGGUCCUCAGAAAAGCUUUUGCAUCCGACUUGGGAGUGUUGUAUUCCUAAAUGACAAUCUCUGGUUGGCCUAUGUUUAGGUUAAAUCUUCAUUUCUUUAGACGAGUGUCAAGAGGUAUUAAAAGUGGUGAAAUUUUCUUUUUGUCCUCAAGAAAUUCGAUUUCCUCAAAGUCUGGUUGCUUGAUUCAUUGUUGCUAGCAUCAGGCUUUGGUUGUCGAGGACCAGGGAGUAACAUGCCCUGAUCUUGUAAUUGGAUGGUACCAAUGAAAGUCAAUGUUCUGCUACAGUUUUAAAAUGUUCCCUUACACAAGCCCUAAAUCAGUCAGCGUUGUUUCUUAAUGAUAAUACUUACAAAAUCAGAGGAAUUCUUGUGUUAUUUCAUUAUUAUUAUUAUUAUUCCUCCAUUUUCCUUCACCCAGUACGAACAAAAAAAGGUAUUCUACCAAAGCGGUGGUGGACAACGUGACAAGGAAUUUGGAUGCCAGUCAGUGUAAUUACUUUACAUGACGCACAAGUUGUUUCUACAGAUUUGUUUUUGUACCUGGAGUGAUUUCUUUCACUGUUGAGCAGGUUCUGGUGUACAAUUCAUGGGUCAGGUCACGGAGCGAGUUAGCAAAACCUUGUCUCUGUGCGAUGGGCAAAAUGUCAUAAGUGAUCUAAAAGCAGAAAAAGAACAUUCAAAUACAAGUGUUGACCCACUUCUACAGUCCUUUGUGUGUUUUUAAUUCAAAAUGCAAUCCAAUAUUUCACUUUCUAUGCUUUAGUUGUACGUCGAUUUUAUUCUGCACCAAUUAAUGUUGCAUAAUGUAAUUGUUGAAUGUAAUUGUUAAAGACACAAAUUGCACGAUAUUCUUAUCCAUUCGCCCCACCAAACCAAAAAUAUGAAGAGAAUGACGUGUUGCAAAAGACGCAUGAAGAACUAAGCGUAGCUUUCCUUAUCUAUCAUAUAUUUGAGAGCACCUAUCAAGAUAUUCUUAUUUUAUUUUUUAGAGACAGCGAAUGAAAGGGCACAAGGAAAAGGUUGCAGGUGAACAUGGAAUGCAAACUAUUCUAUCGUUUUAAUACUUUUUACAGAAAAAUAUUGUUCUGAAAUUCACAGCACAACCACCAAAUUCCUCUAACCUACAUCUUGAACUGGGAAGGCUACUGCUAUAAGUUUCCGGUUAUCGCGGCUGUGAGAAGAUCGAGGCAAGAGAAGCGAUUGUCGUUUUGGUGUGGCCUUAGAAAGCACUGAAACAGUAUCCGUAAGGGUGGUUUAGGAGAAAGCGCUGAAGUUUAUCCUCUUUUCUUCGUCAUCGUGACGCCCCCAGUCUACGGCCCUACUUUCUCUCCCUAGCGGACGAAAGCGCCACAUCACCUCGGUCUGCGACAGUCCUUGGUGUCCGAUCGAAGCAAGUUGCAGCCUCCGAGCAUGAAGGCUUAGCCCACAAAUGAGCGUGAAUGGUUGUCCUACUCCUAUAUGUGUCAGCUCUGAGUUCCGCAUGUUUGUCGCAAGAAGAGGAAGAAGAAACCCAAGUCUAGCCAUGUGAGAGUGUCGGUUGUAAUCGGGGGGAUACUGAAUCGAAAAUGAGCCUUUGUCGAUGAUGGGUUAAGGUUUGUGUUGUUGACUGAGGUGCAUGAAUUAGUCGAAGGAGGAGAAGUUCGAGUCUAGCGCGUGUGAAAUUCGUGCGUAGUGGGUGCAGGGGCUGGGUAGAGGCUCCCGUCGAACAUUCAGAAGAAUUCAGGAGGUGGGUGACAGGUCGUUUUCGCAGACCGAGCCGCGGUGGGUCUGAAAGGGUUCCAAAGGGUUUGAAUUUCGAAUUCGCUGGACGGCACUUGCCCUGCAUUCCAGAGCGUUGGAGUAGGUUAGGAGGGAUCAAUUGGCGUGCUUGUGGAGGAAAAGAGGAGGAGGAGGAAAGUGGCUUAUGUAAUUCGUGAAUCGAGGGUUUUGUUUGGCCGUGUCUUGUAUAUCUUUGCGAUAUAAUCAAGUGUUGGGGUAUAUUUACAUGAGGUGAUCAAUCAGGGUGGAGUCCUUGUGAUGAUCUUGGAUUUGAGGUGAAUUCUGAGAAAGGUAUUGAGCACUUGUUUGCUUUCAAGAUGAUGGUCUCUUUCAUCACCAGGGGAAUUAUGUAAGUGCCGCGUACUCUCUUCUUUUCUCUUUUAUCCGUUUCAAAGAAACUCCCUAUAAGCUCUCCCACGAUAAAUAGAUGCUUCUUGACAACUAAACUGUAGGUGCAUCAUGAAUUAUGUGUAAGGACGUGUAGAAAAUAUAUUCAUGGUGUAGUACUUAACUGAAGAGUGGUUUUUAAUUGAAUACUGCAAAUUCAUGCACUGCCACAAUCAUUUUGUGAUGGGGAUUAAACUUGUGAGUCAAGUUAUAUAGUUAGAGAUUUCUCAAAUGUGUUGAUACUAGUUUAGUUGAUUUUGCAGAAUGUUACUCGGCUACGUGUACCCCGCGUAUGCAUGCUUCAAGGUAGUGGAAAGGGAUAGGCCCGAUUUGGAACACCUUCAAUUUUGGUGUCAGUAUUGGUAUGUCAUCAUUGAUUUUGUUGCUGAUAGAAGAAACUGCGCUUUGUUUUGUUUUGUUUUUUUUUUUUUUUUUUUUGUAUUUUGUAUUUGUUUUUGGAUGAUUUGGUAUCCACCAUUGAGGAUUGGUGUUAUCAGGGAAAAGUUCGAUAAGGUACUCGUGAGAACCUUGAUUAGCUGGUGGCUAUUUCGGGUGCCUCUGGUUUGUGUCUUUUUAAUUCCAAAUUUUAGGGGAAAAUUAGUUUUCACCCGAUUUUCUUUGUCCUCCAGGAUAAUAAUCGCAGCCCUGACAGUAUUCGAAAGGCUGGGGGACGUUCUUGUUUCCUGGUAUGUUUUAAAUCUCUCGUGCUUCUCUUUCUCAUUACUUGCUAACUUUCAAACUCUGCACGCCUGCUUCAUAUCUUAAUCUUAAAGAAAUUAAUUUUACGCGAGUUGGGUUGUCAACUCUAAAUCAUAAGACACGAGUGAGAAUGGUUCUAAGAUUGCUGUUAACUUGAGGAAGAGAAUUGCGUUGGAAGUACCAAACGUGAUCUCGUUUUUGGAUCUGAAGUUGCAUAAAUUGAAACAAUUUGGAGACUUUAACAUCUGAAUUCAUUCUUCCGUCUCCUUCCUACGCCUACGUGGGAUGUAAUAGUCUACGUUGCACUUUAUCUUCUAAUUCCUGGAAUCUUGUAAUCUUAGGGUGCCAAUGUACAGUGAGGCAAAGUUGGCUUUCAUCGUAUACCUCUGGCACCCAAAUACUCUGGUACCACUUGGCUCUUCCUCUUUUCUUGAAUACUCUCUGAGCGGCGGCUUUAGCAGCAUUGUGCUUUUUCUUUUUCUUUUUCUUUUGUGUGUGUGUGCAUAUCGAUCAAGCCCAAGUUUUUAUGUAAGCUAUGGUUGAGAUAUAAUGCCACCAGCAUAAGAUAAUAGCAAGCAUCCCGUAUAACGUUUUGCUUGACUGGUUUAUGGUUAGUAACAUUAGGUUUUCAGUACCUCAUAUUUCCUUCUUCUUUCAUCUUCUUCUUCUUCUGCUACCCUUAUUUUUAUUCUUUUCCUUUUUUUUUUAUUUUCAUUUCAUUUUCAUCUUCUUCUUUUUUCUAUUCCAUUGGUUACCUAUUUGUUAAUUAAUUGGUUUUCCUUCAGGGUACAAAGUAUGUGUACUCAACGUUUUUGAGACCCAUCGUGGCAAGGCAUGAGGCUGAGAUUGACCACCAUCUGCAUGAAUUGACGACUAGAGGUGGAGACUUGGCCUAUUUCUGGUGGCAAAAAUGUUCAAAUUACGCUCAAUCCAGGAUAUAUGAGCUUUUCUCGUAUGUAGCGUCACAACCAAACAGAACCCAGCAGGGUUCUAUUGCCCGUCAAAGUCGUCGUCGCCCCAAUUUUCAAGGUCCUCCACGUGGACCCCCACGAGAUCCUUACCAGGUAUGCUUUUAGACGUUACUUUUGUUUUGCCUAGAGUUGUUUCGAAUCAUACUGGACUUGAAGCUUAUUAUGUAAUGAGAACAAUCUGAUUUUAUACUAAAAACUCGUUAGAUAGAACAGGUUUUUAUAUGAGACUUUAACUUGCACUCAUACUAAAUCUUACAAUGUUGAUAUUGCUACUGCAAAAAGCGCGUCCUUUAGAACACAUGAGAGAGAGGAAUGAUUCAGAGGAGUAUGCUGUUUCUCGAGUGCUCGUUUGCAAGAUAGCUGCAUCUUCACUCAUUUUACAGCAUCUUAUUCACUAGUCAGGAUAUGUUCUAUGCAAUCUACUAUUAUCUCCUGUAAUGUAUCAACUUCAUAAUCACCUUUUGCUCUCUGCUCAUACAGGGAGGCCCUCAAGUUUACCCCCCAGCUCCACCAGCGGGAUAUCCUGGAUCUACUCGUGCGGGUUAUCCUCCAGUGAACGCUAAUACCCUAGAGGAUUCAGACUCGGAUUAUCAUGUCGUCGAAAAAAUUGUAGAAAGUCGUCCGGAAGGCCGUCCAGAAGGUGGAAUGAAGAGUAGGUCCGAGCAAGAAGUGCCUCCUCACGUUGGCAACAUAAGAGAACGUGUUCGAGCAGAUGAUUCCGGUGGUUCCCGGUGAGAAGUUCAUAACAUGCUAGACCCCUCAAGUCGAGUCUAAAUUAUCUGAAAAUGCUAAUGUUUUUCUGGUUGUGUGACUUGGUAGGAAUUCUUUAUUGUUGACUGUUACGGAAUUUUUAAAUUAACAAGAUGAACAGUGUGUAGGAUGACGAAAUCUCUGGUUGGUAUAGUGAUUGCUGAAAACCACUAAUAAGAUCCUGAUACUUGCCAGCUAUUGGUUUGAAAACUCAAGGAGAAUGGACCACUCUAGGUGUAAGAUCUGUCAUGGAGUUAUUUUUAGGGCUCAGACUAAUUGCAGAGUGGUGAACUUGCAGUUUUGUAUCUGGUGUAAUGAAUCUUCUGCCUUUUCUCUAGUAAAAGGGCUUAACUUAAAAUCUUUGUUCAUGUGAAUACAGAUACUUGUACGGAUGGUUGCCUGGUUGGUUUGGCACGUCUUCAGGGAAGGAAGACUGAGGUUUAUCGGUUUCCAUGGAACACUUACUGUUGUUUAAGACUUUUCACCUUUUCAAUCAACUCAACCAGAUCUUAAACCACGUUCAGGUUAGUCUUCUUCUUUGAUUUUGGUUGCUAAUUCCUCGUUGAGGUGGUAUUUCAUUAAUGAUGUAAUUUUGUUAGUGUCUAACCUACCACUUUAUGCAUGUGCAUGCACUUUGCAGUCUACAGCGGGCGUUAAUGCAGAGUAAGAUAGUGGUAGCUGUAAAUACAAGUCUUUUUCACCCUUUUCAGAGUAAAACAGUUCCCAGUACUCAUAAGUUGUGGCAAUUGAUUCUCUGGUGACAUAUAGGAGACAUUCAAAUAAACCCUGUUGGCUGAAGUUAUAUGGGUGGAAUUUUCUGUCUCAAGAAUUUCCAUGGCUACUAGUUGUAGUAUUAGCUUCAGAUAUCCUACAAUAGUUAAUCAUCAGUUUUCUCCUUCAACUGUUUCAAGCAAUCGGUAGGUACUGCUGCGAUAACUAAUAUCUGUCUUAACAUAAUGUAUUAUAAUGCUAUAUAUUUGUAAAAUGAGAAUUAUCUGCUAUCUCCAGCCGUAUUUCAGAGGUUGGAAACUUAGUGUUUAAGCAUGGCUCACAAAAAAAAAAAAAAAAAAAAAAAAAAAAAGGGUAUUUAGUGCAUGGAGUAGGUUUUCAUAAACUUGUGGUUGAAAUUAAGGACGUUUGACGUAAAAUGUGUAAUAAAGCAUUAUUUACUUCUGUACAAUAUCUCCAUGAGUUCCACAGAUACUUUCCUAGGUGAUUCAACGAGUUCUGAUCCUGAGGUAUGUGUAACCUAAUGUCACUCAGAAUAAGUUUUUCCUUUAAUCAACCAGUGAAAGGUCAACAAUUUGAUUUUAUGCCUACCACUAAGGUCCUAAUCCACUCAGAGGCUUGCUGCAACUCCUGCAUAAGCUCAAAGUAUGGGCAUGUCUUGGCUCUUGUUUUGACACAUGAAUCU